rnacentral:rRNA from 1 species
GAUGAACGCUGGCGGCAUGCCUAAUACAUGCAAGUCGAACGAGAGGAAGGAAAGCUUGCUUUUCUGAAUCUAGUGGCGAACGGGUGAGUAACACGUAGGUAACCUGCCCAUGUGCCCAGGAUAACUUCUGGAAACGGAUGCUAAAACCGGAUAGGUAGCAGACAAGCAUUCGACUGCUAUUAAAGUGGCUAAGGCCAUGAACAUGGAUGGACCUGCGGUGCAUUAGCUAGUUGGUGAGGUAACGGCCCACCAAGGCGACGAUGCAUAGCCGGCCUGAGAGGGCGGACGGCCACAUUGGGACUGAGACACGGCCCAAACUCCUACGGGAGGCAGCAGUAGGGAAUUUUCGUCAAUGGGGGGGACCCUGAACGAGCAAUGCCGCGUGAGUGAGGAAGGUCUUCGGAUCGUAAAGCUCUGUUGUAAGAGAAAAACGACAUUCAUAGGGAAUGAUGAGUGAGUGAUGGUAUCUUACCAGAAAGUCACGGCUAACUACGUGCCAGCCGCCGCGGUAA